UCCCUUGGUGUCUGGUUCUUGUCAACCUG
rnacentral:piRNA from 1 species